rnacentral:lncRNA from 1 species
ACGUCAUGGAGUAGAGGAAAUUACUGAUCAGAGAUUGAGACAGAGGACAUGAAAUGAUUAUUUUAUGGUCUUUUAGGAUUGCUGAUUCCAAUAAUAUGUUUGCAAAACUAAAGAUCUGUAUUUAAGUGGCAGCACACAAUAUUUUGACUUGCAUACUUACUGAAGAUUUUGGACCACUUCGUAUUGAGAAAGAGUUACUUAAAAAAUUUGCAUAAAUAGACAUGUUAACUUGUGCAGUUGCAAAGUGUUUGUUUCAGUCCUGUACGUCCUAUUUCCUAAUAAAUAGCACUAUGGGUUAAUAUUGUUCUAGAGAUAAUUCAUUGUUUAGGUACCCUGAAAGUCAACUUGUCAAUGCAAAUUUAUUCUGAAACAGCACUGACAAGCUAUUUGGUGCAAGUCCAAAAUAAACUAAGCCAACUAAGAGUUAUGUUUUUUUUUACAAUUGGUUUCGAUUUUUCUUUUGGAAGAGAAAAAAAAGGCUCAACCGCUAACAAACAAUGGAACAAAACAAUGUUUUACAAAAUAGAAUCAAAAUAUUUUUAUACGUUUUACUAUGACUGUAGUGCAGUCUCCCAAAGUAAAAUAAUUUAAUUUAUUUUAAACUCUGAAGACUCUCUUAUGCAGUUAGGAUGCCUUUAACUUUUACCUGAAACGAUCUUAAUUUGAACUCAAAAUUCAUUUUUUUCCCAUGGCAAAGUGUGGAUCAUUGACUAUUGAUAUUUUCCCAUUUGCAACUAUGUUGAAGACUCCAUUAUGUACUACAAUGUUCAUUGCAAACACCAUGAUAAUCGAUCCUUUCCCAUAGGUUCAAAUAGAUCCGUCAAUUCAUCAGAAAGCAUGAGAGGUAACUGUUCUUUUUUCUUCUAAUUCUAUUCGACCUUGUUCAAUUAUAUGAUUCGUAGAGAAUAAAUCAACAUAGCGGAUACAAUUAAUAUUCAGUCAAUUGAGUAAAAAAAACAACAACACAUUACCUGACACAACGCUCUAACAAUGUUUUAGAUGAUUCGUAAUUGGGAUCAGUAAAGACAAAGCGUGCUGUUGCUGCAACCAUCUCAAGGACUCUUAAAGGGCAAGUGCUAAAUCAAAACAUGUGACACAAACUCGCAACUGUCGUGAAUCAAUCAGCACCCGCUCAGAUCGGGAUGAUAGAUUCUGAACCUGUUGUGAUCAUAACAUACAAGGAAAAAUGAUAUCAGUCAAAAACACGGUAUCACAAUAAUAUAUUCAAUAUUAAGUAGGCAUUGUUUAUUGGAAAGUUGUAAAUUUUAAGGUCAAGAAUCCAUUUAUCAAGAGGCAAGUUCAGCACACGGGCAUUGCCUAGAGUGCUAGAUUGUGUUCCCAAUCAGGAACAUCCACAGAAAUGGAUCUCUAUUCCUAGUUGUGCUGGUACAAUCUGAUUGCUCGAAUACAAAUUAGGCAGAGAUGGCAACCUACUGCAGCUUUUUUCUAACUCUACAGGGUGGCCCAGACCUACCGUACCAGGCCUUUUUUCCGGUUAAUUUGGGUCGCACGAAGUCCAGGAUCGCGGGGAUGAACAGGGAAUUGACCCCAAGAAAUCCAAAUUUCAUGGUCCCAGAGCCCUCCUGGCGCCCCUUGGCGGUAAAAGGGGGGUCCGUACUCCAAAAGUCAGGGUUUAUGUCAAAAUUUUGAAAUUAUUUCAUCGGAAUCAGAACGUACGGAAAUUUUUAACUUAAAUCGACACCAAGAAAUCCAAAAUCGGCCCAUCCGUGUCCAAAAUACCGACCCCUAAAGGUGGGGGACAGAGCCCCCUUUCAAAAAAUUCAAGUUAGUUAAAUUGACGUGGAGACUCGGAAAAAAUGAGUAUUUAUGGGUAAUCGACCCCAAGGAAUCCAAAUUUGAGGGUCUAGUUGUCCUCAGAGACUUUUCUAAUGGGGCACAGGGGUAACCUCCAUACCGGUUAAAUUUAAAAGUUCAGAGUCCCCUGUGCCCCAUCAGAAAAGUCUCUGAGGACAAUGGGACCCUCAAAGG